CUCACUGCCUCUUUGACCAGGUCUUUAUUCAAAAUAAGCUGUCCAAUUUUAUGUCACUUGUAUGGGAUAGAGAUUUUGAUUUUAAGAGUUUAUGCAGCAGGCUGCUUUUGUUCAGCAGGUUUCUUUUCAGCUGCUGGUUUCUUGGUAGCUGCAGGCUUCUUCAAGGGCUUCUUGGUACCAGCAACCUUUUUUCCUUUCUUCUCUUCCACGGGCUUCUUGCCUUCAACCUUCUCUUCCAAUUUGGCUGCCUGUGCUGCUGCUUUAUCCAGAUGGAUUUUGUGAUUCCUGGCCUGGCGAAGAAUGGUAUUCCGGCGCAUGGUCUUUGCAUAUGGGUUCAGCUUCAACAUGAUCCUCAGGUUCUUCAGAGGAUUCUUCUUCAGGACUCUAUGAUGAAUCUUCUUGCAUGAUGCCCAGAGGGCUCUUUGGAUCUCUGGACUCUUCAGGAUUCUGCUCCGGUCUGUACUGAUUAUUUUGUGCAUAGGCAGGUUAUAGUUACUCUUGAGGGAAGCAGCUUUACGCCAAGUGCCAUACAACUCAUCUAACUUCCAGAAAGCACUUUCAGUCCAAAUGCAGAAGCGCCCCACAUGCCCACCAGGAGCAAGUUUCAAAAUAUUCAGUUUACUUACAUUAAGUAGAGUAAUGCCAGGGAUAUUUCUGAAGGCCUUGAUGAUACCAUUGUCUUCAUUAUAGAUGAUGCAAGGUCCCCUGCGCUGGAUGUGACAGCGGUUUCUCAUGUUGCCCUUGCCAGCUCUCAUUCACCGAGAGGCAUAGACCUUUUUGUUAUCAUUCCAGGCCUUCAGUUUCUUCAGAAGCAAAAUGGCCUCCCCGGUCCUCUUGUAACCUUCAACUUUAUCUUCUACAACCAAAGGAAGUUCAGGAACUUCCUCAAUUCGAUGACCUUUUGACAUGACCAGUGCUGGCAAAGCUGAGGCAGCCAGAGCAGAGUAGAUGGCAUAUCGUUUCUGAGUUGUGUUCACUCUACGGUGCCAACGUCGCCAGGUUUUGGUUGGUGCAAACAUGCGGCCUCCUUGACACAUGUUUCCAAAAGCACCCUGGCCAGAACGGUGGGUCCCACCUCCUCAAACCCUUGGAAUUCGAGCCACAGCUCUGCCCAUCCCCCAAGACUCAGCACUGGUCUGGUGACCUGCCAAUUCACUGACAGCAUAGGGCUGCCUGUUGUUUUUACGCAAGUUGGUGUGAACGAA
rnacentral:lncRNA from 1 species